CACGUAGGGUGCGAGCGUUGUCCGGCAUUAUUGGGCGUAAAGAGCUCGUAGGCGGUUUGUCGCGUCUGCCGUGAAAGUCCGGGGCUCAACUCCGGAUCUGCGGUGGGUACGGGCAGACUAGAGUGAUGUAGGGGAGACUGGAAUUCCUGGUGUAGCGGUGAAAUGCGCAGAUAUCAGGAGGAACACCGAUGGCGAAGGCAGGUCUCUGGGCAUUAACUGACGCUGAGGAGCGAAAGCAUGGGGAGCGAACAGG
rnacentral:rRNA from 1 species